rnacentral:rRNA from 1 species
GACCUCGAAUCAGGUAGGGCUACCCGCUGAACUUAAGCAUAUCAAUAAGCGGAGGAAAAGAAACUAACAAGGAUUCCCCUAGUAACGGCGAGUGAACAGGGAAGAGCUCAAAUUUGUAAUCGGGCGUCCCUUGGGCGUCCGAGUUGUAAUCUAUAGAAGCGUUUUUCCGUGCUGGACCAUGUCCAAGUCCCUUGGAACAGGGUAUCAAAGAGGGUGACAAUCCCGUACUUGACAUGACAACCAGUGCUAUGUGAUACGUUUUCUACGAGUCGAGUUGUUUGGGAAUGCAGCUCAAAAUGGGUGGUGAGUUCCAUCUAAAGCUAAAUAUUGGCGAGAGACCGAUAGCGAACAAGUACCGUGAGGGAAAGAUGAAAAGCACUUUGGAAAGAGAGUUAAACAGUACGUGAAA